rnacentral:rRNA from 1 species
UACGGAGGGUGCAAGCGUUAAUCGGAAUUACUGGGCGUAAAGCGUGCGUAGGUGGUUCGUUAAGUCCGUUGUGAAAGCCCCGAGCUCAACUUGGGAAUUGCAUUUGAGACUGCGUAGCUAGGGUGCGGAAGAGGGAAGCGGAAUUUCCGGUGUAACGGUGAAAUGCGUAGAUAUCGGAAGGAACACCAGUGGCGAAAGCGGCUUCCUGGUCCAGCACCGACGUUCAGGCACGAAAGCGUGGGGAGCAAACAGG